AAGUGUUCAUUGGAGGAAUUUGUAUUCUGGAUUUAUAUAAUUGGCAAGCCUAGUUUGUUUUAUUACUUAAGUCAGAGAUGACCUUUUUUUGUGUAUAUGUACUAAUUUGUAUGUUUUGCUCCUAGAAAGAGAAAAAAAUUUACAGAGUUUCUAAUCUGCAGUCUUAUAAACUUCUCUCAUGAUUGAAUGUACCAAAUGCCAUCCUUAUAUUUGUUUUAGGGAAUGACUGGUCCUGAGGUGAAAGCUGCCGCAGGGGUUUAGCAAGAAUCGAGUUUGAUUAAUCGACUGCACAGUGCAUGGGCCCGUUUAAGGUUGGGUUGCCAGUGAACAGUUUGUGAAGGAUUGAUAAAGAACUGGGACCGUACACCUGAUCGAACUUCAGUUGGAUUCAUUAACACAGAUUUCUUGUUUUGGCCGUUGAGAAGCGCAGGCAAAAGAACCUGUGGUUCUAUAAUUUUGUAGCGUGAUUUUGCACUGUCCAACAUGGGAAUGAGCAGAAUAGCGUUUUAAAAUGGGAUUGUUUUAAUAAAUUUGUUAGUAUUUAUUUUCUUUUUUUUAUACCUUCAUACUUGUUCGUUUUCACAGAAAUGUAAUGUUAAUUUAAAUAAGUACAGAAUGUAAGUUUUCCUUGCUUCUAGUUGUGCGAUCAA